rnacentral:rRNA from 1 species
AUUGAACGCUGGCGGCAGGCUUAACACAUGCAAGUCGAGCGGAGCGAAGGUGCUUGCACCUUAGCUUAGCGGCGGACGGGUGAGUAAUGCUUAGGAAUCUGCCUAUUAGUGGGGGACAACGUUUCGAAAGGAACGCUAAUACCGCAUACGUCCUACGGGAGAAAGCAGGGGAUCUUCGGACCUUGUGCUAAUAGAUGAGCCUAAGUCGGAUUAGCUAGUUGGUGGGGUAAAGGCCUACCAAGGCGACGAUCUGUAGCGGGUCUGAGAGGAUGAUCCGCCACACUGGGACUGAGACACGGCCCAGAAUCAGAAGGGAGGCAGCAGUGGGGGAUAUUGGACAAUGGGCGAAAGCCUGAUCCAGCCAUGCCGCGUGUGUGAAGAAGGCCUUUUGGUUGUAAAGCACUUUAAGCGAGGAGGAGGAGCUUCAGGUUAAUACCCUGGAUGCUUGGACGUUACUCGCAGAAUAAGCACCGGCUAACUCUGUGCCAGCAGCCGCGGUAA